rnacentral:SRP_RNA from 1 species
GCUUAGAGGUGGUGGCCCAUGCUGGUAGUCCCAGCUACUAGGGAGGCUGAGACAGGGUGAUUGCUUGAGUCCAGGAGUUCCAGGCUGUAGUGCACUAUGUUGAUCAGGUGCCCACACUAAGUUUGUCAUCUAUAUGGUGAUCUCCUGAGAACAGGGGAACACCAAGUUGCCUAAGAAUGGGUGAACCCACCUAAGUCGGGAAACAGAGCAAGUCCAAAGUCCCUUGCUGAUCAGUAGUGGGAUCACCUGUAAGCUCACAUUGUUUGCCUCCUCUUCUUCCACAUUCCCCUAGCCUUGUU